UGAUAUUUUUAAGAAAUUAUCUUUAUUUUUCAUUGUUUACCUAGACAUGCCAAUGAAUAUUUAGGCCACAUUUUGAGCAAAAACUCACAAGGUGUUUGUUUGUUUGUUUUCCAAACUUCACGUGUGUACACAAACAACACAAUUUUAAGGGUUUGCAUAAAAGAACAAAGCAUAAGAAAUAUAGUGAGAUACAAGCUCAUAACCAAUGUUCCAAUCAGUGAGCAGAUCUGAUUCAACAUGAGAAAAGUUUACAAAACAAGUCUGUGGUUUGUAGGAAGCACUAUCUGGUGACGUGUUGCGGGACACGAUCCUCAUCCCAUCGCGGGAAGCCUUAGGCAGGUAGAGCGGGAUGUUCACUCGGCCUCUCAGGGAGUGACGGGCAGGUCAGUGUUUCAGGAAAAAGGUUCUGACUGACUGCGUGUGCUGUCAAAAGGAAAAGCAGGCUUUGUCCAUCAGGGCUGGCAGUGAUAUCUAUUCUCUCUUUUGAUUUUAACUUUACCUGAACCCUUUGAUUCCCUUCUUCUCAAGCAUUGAAGGAAUUAAACUUGGGAAGUCAGCAAGUGACGAUCCAGGGACUCAGAGAAAAAAAAAAUGUGAAGAUAAAGUCCCCAGAUGAUCCAACAGCUGUGUCUUAAUUAGUAAUCGGACUCCUUCUAUUGAAAGAUUGCAAGACAGCCACCAGUAGGCAGGAAAAAAGAAAACAAAUGUUUUCACAAACAAGGUUCGUUUUCUAAACUCAAAGGAGAGGUUCCAUUAGCUAAAACAGUGUCUUCUUCCUUAUCUUUCCUGUAUCUUCCCCAGUAAUUGCUUUCUUUGAUUUGAUCUCAUGAAAAUUAGAGUACUCAAAAGUCCUCUGCAUCACCAAACCAAAAUAAGCGAGUUUGGAAGCAGAAAUACAUUCAAUGCGUUCUCUUUUGAGGACUCACCAAGCUAAGAGCUUCAGAGUAUUAAAGCCAUAAAGAAUCCUGUCAGU
rnacentral:lncRNA from 1 species